CCUACGGGAGGCAGCAGUGGGGAAUUUUGGACAAUGGGCGCAAGCCUGAUCCAGCAAUGCCGCGUGAGUGAAGAAGGCCUUCGGGUUGUAAAGCUCUUUUGUCAGGGAAGAAACGGUGGGAGCUAAUAUCUCUUGCUAAUGACGGUACCUGAAGAAUAAGCACCGGCUAACUACGUGCCAGCAGCCGCGGUAAUACGUAGGGUGCAAGCGUUAAUCGGAAUUACUGGGCGUAAAGCGUGCGCAGGCGGUUUUGUAAGUUUGUCGUGAAAUCCCCGGGCUCAACCUGGGAAUGGCGAUGAAGACUGCAAGGCUAGAAUCUGGCAGAGGGGGGUAGAAUUCCACGUGUAGCAGUGAAAUGCGUAGAGAUGUGGAGGAACACCGAUAGCGAAGGCAGCCCCCUGGGUCAAGAUUGACGCUCAUGCACGAAAGCGUGGGGAGCAAACAGGAUUAGAUACCCUGGUAGUCCACGCCCUAAACGAUGUCUACUAGUUGUCGGGUUUUAAUUAACUUGGUAACGCAGCUAACGCGUGAGUAGACCGCCUGGGGAGUACGGUCGCAAGAUUAAAACUNAAAGGAAUUGACGG
rnacentral:rRNA from 1 species